GCAGCCGUAGCUCAGCUGUUCGAGCAUCAGAUUUGUAAUCAUAAGGUCGCGGGUUUGAUACCCGCCCAAGGUAGCA